UACGGAGGGUGCGAGCGUUGUCCGGAAUCACUGGGCUUAAAGGGCGCGUAGGCGGCUUGCCAAGUCAGGGGUGAAAUCCAGCAGCUUAACUGUUGAAGUGCCUUUGAUACUGGCGAGCUCGAGGGAGGUAGGGGUAUGCGGAACUUCUGGUGGAGCGGUGAAAUGCGUUGAUAUCAGAAGGAACGCCGGUGGCGAAAGCGGCGUACUGGACCUCUUCUGACGCUGAGGCGCGAAAGCUAGGGGAGCAAACGGG
rnacentral:rRNA from 1 species